GACGAACGCCGGCGGCGUGCUUAACACAUGCAAGUUGAGCGGAAAGGCUCCUUCGGGGGUACUCGAGCGGCGAACGGGUGAGUAACACGUGGGUAAUCUGCCUUGGCUUCGGGAUAGCCACCGGAAACGGUGAUUAAUACCGGAUACGACAACUUCUCGCAUGGGAUGGUUGUGGAAAGUUUUUUCGGCCAGGGAUGUGCUCGCGGCCUAUCAGCUUGAUGGUGAGGUAAUGGCUCACCAUGGCUUCGACGGGUAGCCGGCCUGAGAGGGUGACCGGUCACACUGGGACUGAGACACGGCCCAGACUCCUACGGGAGGCAGCAGUGGGGAAUAUUGGACAAUGGGCGGAAGCCUGAUCCAGCAACGCCGCGUGAGGGAUGACGGCCUUCGGGUUGUAAACCUCUUUCGGUAGGGACGAAGCGCAAGUGACGGUACCUACUAAAGAAGCACCGGCCAACUACGUGCCAGCAGCCGCGGUAAGAC
rnacentral:rRNA from 1 species